AUGGAGAUGGAUUAUCUGGAGAUGAUGCAACUGUGGAACAUUCGUCACAAUUCUCGUUCAAUUGUGGCCCCUAUCUUACUUGAAAUUGGAGAGCUAGUUAGAGAUUUCCCGUUAUUUGAUGUACUUCAUGCAAAUCAGUCGGCAAACGUUCCUGCAUAUCUGUGUGCCAAGCAUGCUUGCAUGCUGAAUGUAACCGAGUGCUGGCUCGAUGAAACACCUAGCUUCCUGUCUGCUGGCUGA
rnacentral:rRNA from 1 species